GACGAACGCUGGCGGCGUGCUUAACACAUGCAAGUCGAGCGGAGAGGCCCGGCUUUGGUGGGGUGCUCGAGUGGCGAACUUGUAACUAACACGUGAUUAACCUCCCCUUGACUUUGUGAUACCGUCAGGAAACUGAGGCUAAUACCGGGUAGGAGCUCCUGCUGCAUGGUGGGGGUUGGAAAGUUGCGGCGGUUGGGGGUGGACUCGCGGCUGAUCAGCUUGUUGGUGGGGUAGUGGCUUACCAAGGGUUUGACGGGGAGCCGGCCUGAGAGGGUGUCCGGGCACACAUGGGAAGUGAUAGAGGCUCGAAUCCCCCAGGGGGGGGAAGUGUGGGAAAUUGUAGGAAGGGCGGAAGCCUGAUGCAGCAACGCCGCGUGCGGGAUGACGGCGUUCGGGGUGUAAACCGCUUUCGCCUGUGACGAAGCGUGAGUGACGGUAAUGUGUAAAGAAGCACCGGCUAACUACGUG
rnacentral:rRNA from 1 species